rnacentral:misc_RNA from 1 species
GCACUGAUUCCUCUGAUGUAUUCUUGCUGUGACAUUUGUUCUUUAUCUCCAGAAAUAGGGUUGUUCUGUAUAAGGAAAUUUGCUUCCUUCCCCUUCAGCGUCCUAAAACGAUCACCAAGUGGAGGAAGACCGUCAAGAAUAGUCCGGCCAAGAAACUCAUUUGAACGAGCUCGCUUAAAGAAAGGAUGCUUCCAAAGCUUUUCUGAGGUGGGGCGCUUCUUU